GACGAACGCUGGCGGCGUGCUUAACACAUGCAAGUCGAACGAAGUGGCGAACGGGUGAGUAACGCGUAAUCAACCUGCCCUUCAGCGGGGGACAACAGUUGAAAACGACGGCUAAUACCGAAUAGUGAAGGAGGGGGUUGCGUCUGAUUAGCUAGUUGGAGGGGGAACGGCCCACCAAGGCGAGGAUCAGCAGCCGGUCUUGGAGGCUGAACGGCCACACUGGGAAUGAGACACCGCCCAAAAUCCUACGGGGGGCAGCAGUGGGGAAUCUUCCGAAAUGGACGAAAGUCUGACGGAGCAACGCCGCGUGAGUGAUGACGGCCUUCGGGUUGUAAAGCUCUGUUAAUCGGGACGCGGUACCGGAAUAGAAAGCCACGGCUAACUACGUGCCAGCAGCCGCGGUAAUUC
rnacentral:rRNA from 1 species